UUUUUCUUUCAUUAGAUGUGUAUAAUAAAUUGAAUAUAUGAGGAUGGAAGUUGAUAAAUGUUAAAUGAUGAAGGAAAUUAUUACCUUUAAACGGAAUGUGACUCCAGGAAGCAGAUCUGACGAGCAGGGACAGAAAACAUGGAAGGAGGAAAAAUAAUGUAAGAUUGCAGGAUCUUAAAAACUAAAGAUUGGGACAACAGAACCUUCACUUCUAUAAAAAUGUUUUCAAGUCCUGUGUUAAAUUAUGCUGAAUGCAUUUUCUGCUUUGAUAUAAUAGACCCCUACAGCAAGACUAUUCGAUUUACUUCUUUGUGUAUCAAUGUGAUGCUGGCUUAACCCACGAAUCCAUUUUGGUCUUCUGAGUUUUGUAUGAUCCAAGGUCCCCACUAUAUCACCCAUCGAUUUUAGUAUGUCUCUGAUCCAGGAGAA